rnacentral:lncRNA from 1 species
ACAUCGCGGGCUCCGGCGCCGCGCUCCUCGGCCGCCCCGGGUGCGGCUGUGGCGGGGCCCGGGUGCGGCGCGGGCCGCGGUGGCCGUCCCUCCGCAGGGCGCAGGCAGCAAACUUUGGCGGCGUCCGCGCGGCGCCGUCUCCGCCGGCGCGCCGGGCUCGCCCCUUUAUAGAGUGUCUGCGCCGCCGCCCGCGCCCCCCCCGCCGCCGCCGCCGGGCGGCCCCUCCCGGAGCGAGCGGCCGCGGGCAGGGCUCCGACCCGGCGCCUUUGUCUCGCCCGGGCCGCUCGGGCGCCGCGCCUCCUGUUCCGGGCGCGCGGGGUCGGCCGGCCGCCUUCGCUGCUCCGCCGCGGCUCUCAGCGCCGCUCAGCGCGGCGGGCCCGCCCGGGCUCAGGUGCCCCCCGCUCUCCGGACCUUCUCGCCCGGCCCCGCGUCCCCUCCGCGGGCUUCCCCCGGCGGCCGGCCGGGCUCGGAGGCUCGCGGCCGGAGCGGAGCGGAGUGCGCACGCCGGGGUGGCAGGACUUCGGCAAGACCAACUUUCCGGUUCGGAAGCGGCGCGGGCCGCGCGGCUCCUCCCCUCCUCUCCCUCCCCUGCGUUCCCCCUCCCUUCCACUCCCCCCUCUCCCCGCCCCCCAACCCGCGGGCCCCACCGACUCCGGAGCGCCCGCCCCGCCCGCUGCUGCCACCGGGCCGCCUCGCCCCCGCGCCAGCCCGCCUGGGCCUCUGCGCCGCCGGCGGCUUCUUAAAUACAGGAAAGGGAGGGGACCGCAGGGCCCCGGUGUUCCCCACCCUAGUCCCCCUUCACCACGGGCCACCGGGCGCCAGCGGAGUGGGCAGCGAGCGCGACCGAAAGUUCCAACUCCACCAAACUCCCGCGCGCGGCCCACCCUUUCCCGGGAUUUCGGGGAUGACACGGGGGCCAGUGGUCCUGUCUGGUGUGAACCGUCAGCACAGAUGGCCUCCUGGAGCUUCCCCGAGUCGUUCGCUGGGGGAAGCGGGCGGUGAGCGGCCAGCCCGGGCGCUCCGCAGGCCGCGAGCUCCCGGCAGGGCUGGUGGCGGGGGUCCGCCUGGGGGAGGAAUCCCCGCCUGCUCCAUCGGACCCGGCCUGGCGCGGCUCGCGGCGCUCGGCGGGCUCCCUUCCAUUCUAGAAUCUUCCCGCUUGCUUCCCAGCCCGCGUUCUUCCGCCUGCCUUUAAUUGUGUAAGUUUGACGAAGUCAGAGCUUUGGGUUCCAGGAAAAGCGCAGGAGGGUCAUAGAGGAAGGGAGGGCGCAGGUUGGAGUCAGGUCCAAACAGUCCCUAUCGCCACUUUUGAAAAAAAAAAAAAACAACAAAAACCCUUAAGGUUGGUUUUAUUUUGCCUUUUGGUAGCGGGCGUAUUCAUUUAGAUUUUUUUUUCAAGACAGGCAAAUAAAAGGUGUUUGAAAUCUCUAGUUAUCCCGUUUAACACACCCAUCGAUGGCGCUUUUCUAGUUAAGCUACGGGGGAAACGUCUUUAUCCCGCAGUUAGGCUGCGAACUUGUGCAGAUGCUCAGGCUUUGUGGAGACGCUCCGGCAUCUGGCGCAGAGGCGCCCGGCGGGGAAAAGUUUGCAGCCCGGGCUUUGGGGCGCGCGGGGGGCAGGAAUUUUUCUGAGAAGAGAGGGGCAUAGAGAGGCGGCGCGGGUGGGGAGAGAAAAAAGGAACGCAGGGGGGAGGGGGAAAAGCAGCUUGCAGGAUGGGAGUUUCUUGCAGAAUUUACAGGAUUAAGGAGUUUGGGGAAGUCGCAGAGCUGCAGCGGAAAGGCAGGGGUCUGAGACUACUUUUGAGAAGAGAAACAACGCAAAACGAUCGCUGGAGGGCCAGAGCCCUGGUCGAAGGUGCCCUAGCUUUUAUGACCUGGUUAAUUGUGUCUCCUUUUUAUUUUUAUUUUUUUCCUUACCACUACUACUACUACUACUUUUAUUUUUUUUUAACCGAUACACUUUGGAGAGAAGAAGCAGACACAGGUUCCCACGGCGUCUGACGCCUGCGGAGCAAGUCCAGAGCCAGCUGGACUCGCAGCCUCUGGCCCGGCGGCACCAACUCCUCACUGGGUCAUUUUGAGCGCGCUGUGCCCACCUUUUCUGUUGCGUGUGGACGUGGGGAGGAUCUUCUAAGUCCCUCCAACGAAGGCAAGUGUGAGACUCUGGCCCUUUAUUUGUAAGAAGCAAGCCUUCAGAUUGCAGAAGUGUCGCGCGGGUCGCCGUGCGUUGCGCGAGUGGGAAGAUGGAGGAGGCCGGCACGCUGCUUUCGUGGACGCAAGUGAACCGGGCGUGAAGGCAGGGUGCGAGCUCUGCCCUUGGCCCAGCCCUGCGUGGGCGCCGUCCCAGAUUCCGGGCGGUGCGGGGUGCAGAGAUCUGGAGAGACUUGCGGGCUCCCCAGCGCAGGCUGCUCUGGGAUUUCGUUGGAAGAUCCGGCAGAGCCUUGGAGGAGAGGGCCCGGGAGGCUGUGUGUGCAGCGGAAACUUGUACGAAUGCCCCCACAGCGGAAAUGGUGCGCACGAGUAAUUUCUGCGGUGCACCCUUUUAAAAAUUGACAAGUGAACAAGAUCAAUUUUUUAAGAAAGCAAAGGUAGAAAACAAAAGGCGUGCGACUUCUUGACUGGCUUGUUCCCGCCUUUCUUCCUUCUCUAUACUCAGAUCAGAAACUUUUCUUUAAUUGCUCUUAUUCAGUGCGACAACUUUUAAUAAAAGCAUUUGCAUUUUAAGCCUGAGUUGCAACCAUAGAUUUAUUGCGAAGUGACAACGUGUCUAUGGAAUAUUUUCGCAGAUGAGACAGGACAUGCGCUCUAGUCGUGCCCAGAUUAAAGCGACGCUGGGCCAUGUGCCUGUGUAGUGCAGACUCGGAGGGGCACACACAUACUCGUCACCACAUGACCACUGUCUAUUAAUAUUGUCAUACCUAAACACUCGCAAAAACAAAAGUUGCUUUUCUUCCCUGUAAUUAAAUCUAAUUUG